rnacentral:rRNA from 1 species
CGCAAGGCUAAAACUCAAAGGAAUUGACGGGGCCCCGCACAAGCGGCGGAGCAUGUGGAUUAAUUCGAUGCAACGCGUAGAACCUUACCUGGGUUUGACAUGGAUCGGGAGUGCUCAGAGAUGGGUGUGCCUCUUUUGGGNCCGGUUCACAGGUGGUGCAUGGCUGUCGUCAGCUCGUGUCGUGAGAUGUUGGGUUAAGUCCCGCAACGAGCGCAACCCUUGUUCACUGUUGCCAGCACGUUAUGGUGGGGACUCAGUGGAGACCGCCGGGGUCAACUCGGAGGAAGGUGGGGAUGACGUCAAGUCAUCAUGCCCCUUAUGUCCAGGGCUUCACGCAUGCUACAAUGGCUGGUACAGAGAGUGGCGANCCUGUGAGGGUAAGCGAAUCUCGGAAAGCCGGUCUCAGUUCGGAUUGGGGUCUGCAACUCGACCUCAUGAAGUCGGAGUCGCUAGUAAUCGCAGAUCAGCAACGCUGCGGUGAAUACGUUCCCGGGGCUUGUACACACCGCCCGUCAAGUCAUGAAAGUUGGUAACACCCGAAGCCGGUGGCCUANCCGUUGUGGGGGAGCCGUCGAAGGUGGG